rnacentral:rRNA from 1 species
CAGCAGCCACGGUAAUACAGAGGGUGCAAGCGUUAAUCGGAAUUACUGGGCGUAAAGCGCGCGUAGGUGGUUCGCCAAGUUGGAUGUGAAAUCCCCGGGCUCAACCUGGGAACUGCAUCCAAAACUGGCGAGCUAGAGUAUGGUAGAGGGUGGUGGAAUUUCCUGUGUAGCGGUGAAAUGCGUAGAUAUAGGAAGGAACAUCAGUGGCGAAGGCGACCACCUGGACUGAUACUGACACUGAGGUGCGAAAGCGUGGGGAGCAAACAGGAUUAGAUACCCCAGUAGUCCCUGUCUCUUAUAC